UUUAGAUAUCUGCUUUUUUACAUAUAUAAUAUAAAAAAAGUUUCAAAAUGGUAUACCAGCUGAACUAUUUACGAAAAUGGUAUAUCAGGGAUGGUGGAGGGUGGUGUAUAGGUGGCACCACCUUUAUUUUUAGACUUUUCUGACUGACAGUGAAAAAAACACUUUUUUAAUAGGUGAAACCUUUUGAAUACGCAACCCGAGUACAAAUACAAAACAAAUAUAAUAUGAAAUUAAAAAAAAAG
rnacentral:lncRNA from 1 species